GCACGUUCAUGAUGGCCAGCAAGGGGCAGGGGCCGUUCUCGUUCUGGGUGAUGACGGGCGUGUUCUCCUCCUUCCAGCGCACCCACUUGAUGUGGUAGACCGACUGGCCCGGGAAGCGCUCCUUGGAGGCGGAGAGCAGCUGCGCGCCCGCCGCGGCCGGCGCCGGGGCCGCGGCCGGGCCCCCCGCGGCGGCGGCCGCCUCCUCGGCGUCGCUGUUGAGCUCGGAGCUGCUGGGGCAGCCGGAGUGCAGGCGAUAAACGCCUGUAGUUUCAGAACUCGCUUGCGUGGGGAGCGUAAGAUAGGUAAGAGCUGCCGAAACUGUGCUCGCCCUGAAGUCCGCCGCCGCCCUCCGGGCCGAGCUCCCCCUUUCCCCUUCCCCAGGAAGGCGCCGCGCCGCGCCGCGAAGCAAACUGAAGGCAGCGCCUGGGGACAGGGCGGCUUCCUUCUCUUCCCUGUCCUCCGCGGUGCUCUCUGGCACCAUCUGCUUUCUUCAGAAACUGCUACGUCAGCUUCAGCGGGCUUAUCUGAAGUGCUGUUUCUUGUAAUCGCGCUGCCUGUGCAAUGUUUGCACAACAACCUCUUCUGGUGAAUUCAGAAAUGAGUAUGCCGCUGUAAGUUCUUCUGCAAAACCAAUUGCUCUUACAGCCAGCUGUUAUUUUACCAAUAAAAUAGGGAAGGAUUAGUUUGAAAACUCAGCAGUUGACUGUUAAGGGAAAUAAGGCAGAAGGGCUGGAAUUUCAGAGAACGAAGUGGGUUUCAAAAGAAGAAGAGCGCAGUUCAGAAAGAAGAGAGAAACCUUCCCUAGUUUGUACCAUAGUGUCCCAUUCCUCCAGCUGUUUCAGCUACGCAUGUUUAAGGGAGCAACAUCAAAAUCAAGUUCAGAACUGGUAGCAUUGCCUACAAGUAACAGCGUCAGCAUCAGAAGAGUCAUGUUGAAAAGACCCCAAACCGGGUAAAAACAAAUGGAAAGCGGGUGCCAAUAAACUGAGAAACUCGUCAGAAACACUAACACCAAGAAUAAACCUUUGAAGUGG